UAGUCUGGCCUAUGAGCCUAUGUCCUAACCCCCUGCUCUACUGGGGAGGAAGAAAGGCCAGACUGUCUAUGAUAGCUACAGACACCAGAGCUUACAGACAAAUAAUAAAAAGAAGAGAACCCAGUUCAUGAGACCAUCAGAAACACAGGUGAUAAGGAGACAUAACAAAGAGAGAUGAAGAGAAUGAAGAGGACACAAGAGUUAAAGGUUAAGUGUGGCUUUGAUUCCCAUGGAGAUGGGGGAAAUGGCACUGCAGGAAAGGUGAAGCACACGCUGGAACUGAUCCUUAAAGCUCGGCAAGCAGGCGUUGCGAUCCAGCAAGGAGCACCCCAGGGAUCUGUUACGGAUAGUGAACACGACUUCGGAGCACAGGAUCUGGUGGCACGAGUGUCUGGCUUCCAAUCCUGACUUUGCCAAAACAGUUUUGUCACUCUAAGCACAAAAUGUACUCCUCUGUGUUUUAGGUUUCAGGCAAUUUAUCAUGAGAUGGGCUUCUUACUAAGCUCCUUAAAUGCAUUAUUGUAUUUAUUCUUCCCUCACAAUAUUAUGGCAGAUGUACAAAUAUCCUUAAAUCUCAGAUGAGAAAAGUAAGUAUCAGUGAAUUUAAAUAACUGAUGAACAUCAUACUGUGAGCUAGAGGGAACUGAGACUUUAACUGGUUCUAUCUGAUGCCAUAAUGUUUUGUACUAUUAUACCACCAGGUCGUACUGCUUGUCUAAUAACCCAGUGACAUCAAUGAGAAAAAACAGGUCCUAGAACUGUAUGUCCAACCCACAAUUAUGGGUCAAGUCAUAGGAAAGUGGAAGGCUGAGGACAACUCCAGCAGGGGUGCUGGAGACCAGUCAUUUAAAUCGGCUACGUGUGUAGCACAGACCCCAAGGACACAGUUGGAGUCAUUCCCCAUGUUGUGAGCAAUUUUUGUUUAGGGAGGCGAGAUACACUGGGUGGAUUGUUGAGGCUAUUUUUACUGUAAGUUCAGUUUCAGAAGCCAUUUCAGGAUCUCAUGGCAGAAGAUAGGAGGACACAGUUUUGGAAAGAUCUCCCAAUGAAAAUCCUCUGGAUUCAAGAUUGUGACAAUGCUUCUCACAUUUGGAGGACAAUAUCCUUCCAGGAAGUCAGAGUAAUGAGAGAAAAAUUUCGAGCUGCAGCUACAAACCACUGCCCAUGCGUGUCCACUGUGCAUAUGAGACUACCCUCCACAAAUGGCCUUUAAACUGCAUUAUUGGGAAUAUUUUUAAUGAUAAAAAUAAGUCUCUAAUAUUAUUUUAUCGUCACCUCAUUUACAGUAGAGGGCCCUGCAAACAGUCUUCAUUUAACAAAUUCUACUAAUUGAUUAUCCAAGGACACAGCAGUUGAAAACUUAUGUUGGAGGUUGAGAAUGAGAGUGAAAUAAUUUAUGAAACCAAUUAUAAAUUAGAGAAGAUAAUA